AGAAGACUGGCUUUCUUUUUUGUUGUUAUUUGUUAUAUUUUAUGCGUUUGAGGAAUUGUUUUACAACUAAAAGCCGAGACUUUGUAGUUUAGAACAGUUUCGUUUUUAAUGUGUUAAGCUAUACAUAAGUUAUUAUUGGAGAAAGUGGAUCUACUCUAACGUUUAAUAUAAUUAAAAGACGUGCCAUGCAUGCACACACAACUUUUGGACUUCACUCUUGAGCGAUCUUGUUCAUAUUGCUUGCAUGCAAAUUUAAUCAUAUUUAUUAUUGAGAAUGCAGUAUCUAUUUUCUUUUUGAUAUGGUUUUAUCAAACGUUGUACCAAAAGUCACCACAAAUAAUACAUGUUACAAUUUUGUUGGUCAAGACGGGAUGACAAAUUCAGGUCAUGGCAUGUACACAAACAAUAAUUACAUUAGUGUACCAGAAGAGAAUUAUUCUCUGACACCACAGACACUCUCAGCAUCAAUAACUUCAUCAUUUCCAUGUCUGAAUGCAGUGCCAGUAAACCGAUUCACUUUCGCCACUCCUACACAGACCAGUCUUGGACGAUACGUUGCUCAGCCAUAUUCAGUGACAUCUGUGCCAUCAACACAAAUCGCAAAUAUUGUAGCAAGGACUGUUCCGGGUCUUGGCGCUACUUGGCAGCAUUCUCUACCAAACACAGCACAUCCAAGGUUGCAGAUGGAUGUUACAUGGCAGAACUGUGUACCGCACAUGUCACACACACAGAUUGGAAUGGAUUCUGUUGCAGCACCACAGCUGUCGGUUCCUCAGGAUAUGCCUUGGAUGCAAGAUACACCACCAUCGAACAAAGAUGUUUCAGUUUUCUCGGCAGUGCCUAUAUUGCAUCCACAGCUAUGUUAUAAGCGGGGCCCAAAGCGACAACUUGGCAUACCUGAUGCAGACAAUGGAUGCUCCCCCUCCAAACAAUUCAUCACUGAAGAAAUGAUGGCAGCUAGAAUGAAAGACCUUUCACUAGACUGUGCAACAUGUACUGGUCCCAGCCCGACUCGUAAAACCCCCGUAUCUCCCAGUACAGCGAUCACCUCCGACUGCCAGCAUGUUCGUACACCGAGGCCAGUGUCUCAGUGGCAGAGAAUGAAAGAAAUUGAAGAAAGGUUGGAAGAUGAAGAAGACGAAGAGAUUGUCACCACAUUGAACAGCACAAGCAAAACAAAGCCACGGUUACAUUUGCUGACACAUGAUAUCAGCGCUAAGGAUUUGCUGUCCACAAACCCACUACUGCCGAAGAAAAUCAUUGAUGACCUGCUUCGUUCAGGUUACCAGGAAGUUACUACAUAUCAAGCAAGUUGAGAGCGGUACUUUGUUCUCCACUAAAUGUUUUGAACAAAAAACAUCAUGUUCAAAAUUUUGAUAAACUGUAUGCUGUUCAAGUUACAGUACACACACUUGCCAAUACAACAAGAACAGUGAUAAUGAAUGAUUCAGCAUGUUUUUGAAGGAAUAAUAAUGGGAAUUGUAAACGUGCAUAAAACCCACUAUGCAGGUUGUGCUGUGGAAACCACCAGGUUACUUGAUUAAGAACACCAUAUCUCAAGUGGUUUCCUCCAACGACGAGAAAGCCAGUCUCUUGCCUCAGGUAGAAAGUGUCUGCAACGUUGUG
rnacentral:misc_RNA from 1 species